rnacentral:misc_RNA from 1 species
UUUAAAAUCUCUAUAACAUCGAUGAACGGACACACGAAGGGAGUGUGUAGAGCGGGUGCCGAUGUGUGUUUAAUCGAUCGCCCGGCAACACACAUUGCACUAUUGCAGCAACUCGAUUCCUAUCAUCAGUCAUAGAUGGCGUAGACCCGCUCAAAUUCAACAAAGGAAAUAAAUAACAAAGCCAUUUUUUUUAUUGUUUUUAACUAGAUAUUAUACUAGACGUCAGUAAACAAUGAAAGGUUUAAAUGUAUGUAAAUUCAAGUGUGGUGGAGGUAGGGAGUGAAAAUGAAUUUCAAGAUGGCCGAUUUCUUGCCUUCUUUCCUCCCGUUUCUAUUUGAUUCUCGUUGGCAAGGGGGAGCGUCUUUCGGUGUUUGUUAUGAUUUUGUGUCGUCUCGGUCAAAUGUUUCAAGUUCUUGCCAAUUGUUCUAUCCUAUCUGUUAUUUCUUUCUUUCCUUCUUUCUUAGCAGCCUGUGUGUGACGUGUGACUGCCAGGACUUUUAUAUCACGAAGCAAAGAAAAGGCAUUUGCUGGAGGAGAGCUGUCAUCAACAUUCAUUUUGCUUCUACAUUUUUUAGGAUCAUGUGACGUCAAUGCUUCUUGUUUUCCAACCACUGUUGAGGCGUUCCGAUGGCAGCCUGUCACACAUUCAAUUGGUUCAAGGACAAUGUGGGACAACAGUGCUGGCCACAACUUGGGGAGACUACUAACAGUUGUCCAGGGUGGUCAACACAACACUUGCUGGUCAAAUCUGAUCUUCUGUUCAAAUGUUAAAAGAAGAUUGGCCAGUUGAUGGCAGCCUGCACCAAUGCUGCCGAGACAAGUUCAUUCACCAACACCUACUACGUUCCUCUAAAUGAUGAAAGAGAAAACAAAUCCUCAGAAGCAAGAGUGUAUGUAUUGGACCAGAAAAUGAAUUGUUGCUGGAAGCUCAAAUAGUUUGUGCCAUUUUCCAAAACAAUGCCCUUAAACUGUGCAGCGAACUGAGCGACAAUGUGGUCCAGCAAUUCGCUCAGUGCAUCGAGACCACACGCCGUCACGUGGAAUAUCUCCCCUUUCUGCCAACGAUCGUGAAAGCGGAAGGCCAAAUCAUCCGUAAGAACUGGUCGGGGAGGAAGUACUCUUCUUUUACAACGUCAAUAAGGCCUUGUUCUACGACUUUCUCGACAUGAUGAGUGCCGAACGGUACCGGCUGGAACUCAGCACUGGAAGCAGCGGAGCUCUCAAGUAAAACCAAAAGAAACCUAAUUCCCUAAAAGCUUCGAACUUAUUCCGUCUUUUUUAGUUACCACAUUAAAGUUGAAUUUCUAUUUCAUUGAAGGUGGAUUAAACAUACUGAACGACAGCGUGAGUCGUGGCGACAAUGAGUACGCUGAAAGGAUCCUAGCGUCCAGAAUUUUUUUUUUUUUUAAUCACGUCGUGCACAUCGUUUGCAAUCGCCUUCCAUUCUUUUUUGCUGUCCGUUGAGCGUUGCAGUAGGAAUUUUACUGUUCAAGCAAUGUUGUGUCCACACUAACAUAUGCGCUCAGCAAUUCAAUUAGCGAUUGACCUGAAUAUCAAUUACAACACGUGUUAUUGACUCCGCAGCCGUGGUUUAGUAUUUUUAUUUUUGUUUGCGCUGCCAGCGUUGUGCUCGAGAAACACUGCUGUGAUGUCAAUAACAUUGGUUUUAAUAUUGAUAUCCAGGUCAAUCCUUCAUGAAAACCGACUGCGCAUUUUUUUUUUUAAUAAAUAGGAUGCAAGGAUAGUGAUCGCCACUAUUAAGAAAUACUGUUACCUGUAUAUAAAAGCCGGAACCUGGUUGUCGAAUUCCUUAUAAAAGCGUCUAAUGUUCCCAUUCGCUUUAUUGUUCGUGAUCAACAUUCAUUUAAAAGUAGAUUCUGAAUAAAAUUGUCUUUAGUACGAGCCGCCAUGAAUCCCGCACUACUGGUCAAUGUGAUAUUCGUUCUUGUCAUUGCCUCUCCUGUGGCUAGAUCGCAACCUUUACGUCCGAAUGGAAACCACUCUGAUCUCCCUGAUUCAAUAUCAUUCGCCGUAUCAGAAGUACAUGAAGUUGCCCCCAUUGCUGAAGCUGCGACAGAUGCCGUUCCUGAAAUUGCAGUUGUCGCCGAAGAAGAAGUUCUGGUCGUUGUUCCGGAAACGGAGCCUGUCGUCGAGCAAGUCGUCGUCGUUCCAGAACCGGAAGCUGUUGUCGAGCAAGUUGUCGUAACCUAGAAGCCAGCAGCAGUUGAAGAGUUGUCUCUUGAAUAUCUUCCUCCAGUCGUUUCCAUCGCCGAAGUGAAACCAGAAGUUAAAUUUUGUUGGUUUGGGGAAAAGUGGACAUCAAUAAUUUUUAAUCAUUAAAAUAAAAUGACAGUUUGACUGUG